rnacentral:rRNA from 1 species
CCUACGGGUGGCAGCAGUGAGGAAUAUUGGUCAAUGGACGGAAGUCUGAACCAGCCAUGCCGCGUGCAGGAAGACGGCUCUAUGAGUUGUAAACUGCUUUUGUACAAGGGUAAACCUGAAUACGUGUAUUCAGCUGAAAGUACUGUACGAAUAAGGAUCGGCUAACUCCGUGCCAGCAGCCGCGGUAAUACGGAGGAUCCAAGCGUUAUCCGGAUUUAUUGGGUUUAAAGGGUGCGUAGGCGGAUUGAUAAGUUAGAGGUGAAAUGUCCGAGCUUAACUCGGGAACUGCCUCUAAUACUGUUGGUCUAGAGAGUAGAUGCGGUAGGCGGAAUGUAUGGUGUAGCGGUGAAAUGCUUAGAGAUCAUACAGAACACCGAUUGCGAAGGCAGCUUACCAAUCUAUAUCUGACGUUGAGGCACGAAAGUGUGGGGAGCAAACAGGAUUAGAUACCCCUGUAGUC